UCCCGGUUGGCCCGGGCAGUCUUGCAUGAAAAAUACAACAUACAAUAAGGGUUGCGCUCGUUGCGGGACUUAACCCAACAUUUCACAACACGAGCUGACGACGGCCAUGCAGCACCUGUCACUUGGCUCCCGAGGGCACCCCACUGUUUCCAGUAGGUUCCAAGGAUGUCAAGCCUGGGUAAGGUUCUACGCGUAGCGUCAUAUUAAACCACAUCAUCCUCUGCUUGUGCGGGUCCCCGUCAAUUCCUUUGAGUUUUAGCCUUGCGGCCGUACUCCCCAGGCGGGGUGCUUAAUGCGUUAGCUACGGCACGGAAGGAGUUGACACCUCCCACACCUAGCACCCAUCGUUUACGGCGUGGACUAC
rnacentral:misc_RNA from 1 species